rnacentral:rRNA from 1 species
UUGAACGCUGGCGGCAGGCCUAACACAUGCAAGUCGAACGGUAACAGGAAACAGCUUGCUGUUUCGCUGACGAGUGGCGGACGGGUGAGUAAUGUCUGGGAAACUGCCUGAUGGAGGGGGAUAACUACUGGAAACGGUAGCUAAUACCGCAUAACGUCGCAAGACCAAAGAGGGGGACCCUCGGGCCUCUUGCCAUCGGAUGUGCCCAGAUGGGAUUAGCUUGUUGGUGGGGUAACGGCUCACCAAGGCGACGAUCCCUAGCUGGUCUGAGAGGAUGACCAGCCACACUGGAACUGAGACACGGUCCAGACUCCUACGGGAGGCAGCAGUGGGGAAUAUUGCACAAUGGGCGCAAGCCUGAUGCAGCCAUGCCGCGUGUAUGAAGAAGGCCUUCGGGUUGUAAAGUACUUUCAGCGGGGAGGAAGGGAGUAAAGUUAAUACCUUUGCUCAUUGACGUUACCCGCAGAAGAAGCACCGGCUAACUCCGUGCCAGCAGCCGCGGUAAUACGGAGGGUGCAAGCGUUAAUCGGAAUUACUGGGCGUAAAGCGCACGCAGGCGGUUUGUUAAGUCAGAUGUGAAAUCCCCGGGCUCAACCUGGGAACUGCAUCUGAUACUGGCAAGCUUGAGUCUCGUAGAGGGGGGUAGAAUUCCAGGUGUAGCGGUGAAAUGCGUAGAGAUCUGGAGGAAUACCGGUGGCGAAGGCGGCCCCCUGGACGAAGACU